rnacentral:rRNA from 1 species
CAGUAGCGUAUAUUAAAGUUGUUGCAGUUAAAAUGCUCGUAGUUGAAGUUCGGAUGCAGCAGAGCUUGGAAACGCUGUUAUGGUGCUUCCGUUGCUUUUGCUUGUCCACAGUGCGUUGCAAGUACGUAUGUGCUUGUGCGUGCAUUUUACUUUGAGAAACAUAGGGUGUUCCACGCAUGUUACGGCAUGAAUAUUCCAGCAUGGGAUAAUCUGGUACGACUUCCAAUCUGCCAUUUUGGUUCGUAGGUUGGAAGUAAUGAUUAAUAGGGACUGUCGGGGGCAUUGGUAUUUGACUGUCAGAGGUGAAAUUCUUAGAUUCGUUGAGGACCAACCACUGCGAAGGCAUUUGUCAAGGAUGUCUCCAUUA